rnacentral:rRNA from 1 species
ACCCGCAGAAAACUAGCAUAUCAAUAAGCGGAGGAAAAGAAACCAACAGGGAUUGCCCUAGUAACGGCGAGUGAAGCGGCAUCAGCUCAAAUUUGAAAUCUGGCUCUUUUAGAGUCCGAGUUGUAAUUUGCAGAGGGCGCUUUGGCGUUGGCAGCGGUCCAAGUUCCUUGGAACAGGACGUCACAGAGGGUGAGAAUCCCGUACGUGGUCGCUAACCUUCGCCGUGUAAAGCCCCUUCGACGAGUCGAGUUGUUUGGGAAUGCAGCUCUAAAUGGGAGGUAAAUUUCUUCUAAAGCUAAAUACUGGCCAGAGACCGAUAGCGCACAAGUAGAGUGAUCGAAAGAUGAAAAGCACUUUGGAAAGAGAGUCAAAUAGCACGUGAAAUUGUUGAAAGGGAAGCGCUUGCAGCCAGACUUGCCUGUAGUUGCUCAUCCGGGCUUUUGCCCGGUGCACUCUUCUGCGGGCAGGCCAGCAUCAGUCUGGGCGGUUGGAUAAAGGCCUCUGUCAUGUACCUCCUUUCGGGGAGGCCUUAUAGGGGAGGCGUCAUGCAACCAGCCUGGACUGAGGUCCGCGCAUCUGCUAGGAUGCUGGCGUAAUGGCUGUAAGCGGCCCGUCUUGAAACACGGACCAAGGAGUCUAACAUCUAUGCGAGUGUUUGGGUGUCAAGCCCGAGCGCGUAAUGAAAGUGAACGGAGGUGGGAUCCCUUUAGGGUGCACCAUCGACCGAUCCUGAUGUCUUCGGAUGGAUUUGAGUAAGAGCAUGGCUGUUGGGACCCGAAAGAUGGUGAACUAUGCUUGAAUAGGGUGAAGCCAGAGGAAACUCUGGUGGAGGCUCGCAGCGGUUCUGACGUGCAAAUCGAUCGUCAAAUUUGGGCAUAGGGGCGAAAGACUAAUCGAACUAUCUAGUAGCUGGUUCCUGCCGAAGUCCCCCCCAGGA